rnacentral:lncRNA from 1 species
AUAAAUGAGAAAAUGUAAAAAAAGAAAAGGAAAAGGAAAAAAGAAAACAGUGGAGGAGGCAUGACCUUGCUCUUUACCCCGUGUAAAUGGUAAAACAAAAAGUUAAUUUUGUUAAACAUAAACUAAUUUGAAAAAGAAAAAUCUUGGUGAAAAUAGAAGAGAAAAUGUGAAGAAGAAAAAAAAAAAAAAGCAAUGGGUGAGAUGUGGGC